AUCCAGCUGACGAGUCCCAAAUAAGACGAAACGCGCGUCUAGCCACCAU
rfam:Schistosoma mattheei strain Denwood, Zambia genome assembly, scaffold: SMTD_scaffold0001730